rnacentral:lncRNA from 15 species
AAAGAGCUUCGUUCAGGUGUGUGGGUGUGUGUGUUACUGUGUGUGUGUGUGUGUGUGUGUGUGUGUUACGUGUGUAAAUGAACUUGAUCUACGUGCACCAGAGUUAACACUAGAGCUACAGUGAGAGAGAAACAGUCAAACUGCAGGGAUUCAUUAGUUUAGUAUUAUUGUGUAACUUUGAUUAGCACCCAGCAGCUGGGGUUGCUCACUAGGUUGUUUUGUGGAAUCAAACCGACUAAUAAAAGUUUUCUGAUCCAUUUAUUUAGUGUUACUGAAGUAUUGCUAUUACUGACGAUAUAAGUGCAGGUCCAGUGUAACAUCUUAUAUAUCUUAUAUAUAUAAUCUCCUGUUGUAUGAUAAACACUGAGGCUCACUGCUAAAUGUCUGUUAUUGCACCGGGAACUUGUUCCAACAUCAGUUACAGUCAGUAAAUGUCCUGUGUGUGUAUCUGCUGCCAUUAGAUAGACAUUGUGUUGGUAACCUCAGACUGUUUCAACAACACAUCACUACAGUUAGCUGCAACCAGGAACCACCAGAGACACUGCUUUAUUAUUUUAGAUUAUAACUUAGGUGACCUGAUGAAGCUCAGGUGUUCCUGGACCCAUCAGAGGACAGAGACAGCUGCAGCAUCAGGACAGUCUGGGUAUCCAAAGGAAGACUGAUGAAGAUGAACACUGACUGCAGAGCUCCAUUACCAGCUCACACUUCAGUAUACUAGAAACCAUAAACCUUGAUGGAGAACAUGAUCUGCACAGUUUACAUAAAAGUUAUAGCUUUGUUACUUACAACAUGUGUAACUGGAAUAUGAAUGAAAUAUAAAUAAAGUGUUUUACUUUUAAGAAGAGUUUUGGUCAUUUUUAAAUUCAAGUGUGGUUUUAUAUAAAUAACAUGUUAUUUCACAAAGGUUUUAUGAAGAUUUUGAAAGAGUUGAAAAUCUGGUCAUCUAUCAAUAUGAAAAUGUGAAAUUUAAACCUGUAUUAAUGACUGUAAGCAACACAAUACAUUACUGUCUCACAUUCAAACUUUAUAAUGUUGGAAGAUAAAUUACAUCACAAUAUAUAAUAUAAAUGAUAGAAUAUUGAGUAUACAGUAUUUUUAAUGGGGUUCAAACAUAAUUGCAGCUUUUACAAAUACCUGAAGGUUAACUUUGGUAAUAAUACUAUAUUAGACUAUGAAAUAUGGAUACAGUACCGUUAACAGUUGGUUACUUGGCAGUUUUUCAACCCCAUAAACAAUUUACUUUAUUAGAUGAGUGAUUCCUUCAGUUAUGUUGACAUGUUGUACAGGAUAAAGUAUUCCAGGUUUCUGUUUCCAUGGUCUCAGUAAACUA